AUUGGACAAUGGGGGCAACCCUGAUCCAGCAAUGCCGCGUGAGUGAUGAAGGCCUUAGGGUUGUAAAGCUCUUUUACCCGGGAUGAUAAUGACAGUACCGGGAGAAUAAGCUCCGGCUAACUCCGUGCCAGCAGCCGCGGUAAUACGGAGGGAGCUAGCGUUGUUCGGAAUUACUGGGCGUAAAGCGCACGUAGGCGGCUCAUCAAGUCAGGGGUGAAAGCCCGGGGCUCAACCCCGGAACUGCCUUUGAAACUAGUGAGCUAGAAUCCUGGAGAGGCGAGUGGAAUUCCGAGUGUAGAGGUGAAAUUCGUAGAUAUUCGGAAGAACACCAGUGGCGAAGGCGACUCGCUGGACAGGUAUUGACGCUGAGGUGCGAAAGCGUGGGGAGCAAACAG
rnacentral:rRNA from 1 species